rnacentral:rRNA from 1 species
AUGAACGCUGGCGGCGUGCCUCAUACAUGCAAGUCGAGCGAACAGACGAGGAGCUUGCUCCUCUGACGUUAGCGGCGGACGGGUGAGUAACACGUGGAUAACCUACCUAUAAGACUGGGAUAACUUCGGGAAACCGGAGCUAAUACCGGAUAAUAUAUUGAACCGCAUGGUUCAAUAGUGAAAGACGGUUUUGCUGUCACUUAUAGAUGGAUCCGCGCCGCAUUAGCUAGUUGGUAAGGUAACGGCUUACCAAGGCAACGAUGCGUAGCCGACCUGAGAGGGUGAUCGGCCACACUGGAACUGAGACACGGUCCAGACUCCUACGGGAGGCAGCAGUAGGGAAUCUUACGCAAUGGGCGAAAGCUUGACGGAGCAACGCCGCGUGAGUGAUGAAGGUCUUCGGAUCGUAAAACUCUGUUAUUAGGGAAGAACAAAUGUGUAAGUAACUAUGCACGUCUUGACGGUACCUAAUCAGAAAGCCACGGCUAACUACGUG